rnacentral:lncRNA from 1 species
CAGUUCCUUUCUCCAGGUUGUUUCUGGUCAUGGCAUUAUCACAGCUACAGGGAAGUAAGCUAGACCCAAGGGUGUAAAGUUGCCGACCACCGGUAAUACUGCGGGUAGAUGGGACGGAGUGCUAAAGAAGGGAAAUGAUUUAGGGACUGGUUUAACUGAGCUCAGGCCCCUCCAGCUGCUAAUCUAUGUGUUUUCCUGUUCCCAGGCUUUGACACCUGGGGAAGAUGACUCUUGCCUGUGAACAACAACUGCAGGAUGGGCUGUGUAAGCGCAGACAAGAGAACAAAGAAGAAACAAGAGCUUCCCAAGCCUUUGGGUGCUGUAUUGGUGAUCACAGAUUUGUCCCAUGACUCUAAUGUCAGAAGGUCCCUCUUGUGUUGGCUGUGAGCAUUGUCUUGCUUCUGCACCUUGAAACAUGAGACCUGAUUUUGUGAGUUUGCCUGCAUUGCAGCUAGAGUCCUGCUCUUUCUUCACACCAUGGUCACCAUCUCCCCCAACUACCACCAUCAGCAUCAUCUCCCCCACUACCACC